GACGUAGGGGGCCAGCGUUGUUCGGAAUUACUGGGUGUAAAGGGUUCGUAGGCGGUGUGGCAAGUCGGGAGUGAAAUCUCUGGGCUCAACUCAGAGACUGCUUCCGAAACUGCUGUGCUGGAGUGUGGGAGAGGCGCGUGGAAUUGCAGGUGUAGCGGUGAAAUGCGUAGAUAUCGGCAGGAACACCCAGGGAGAACUCAGCCGCCUGGGCAAGUGCUGACGCUGAGGUGCGAAAGCGUGGGGAGCGAACCGG
rnacentral:rRNA from 1 species